rnacentral:lncRNA from 1 species
UUUGAUCCAUAUUUUGCUUUGAGAAGGUUGGUAUAAUGCUUUCUAAAACUUGUUUUCUUGAAAUUGAAAACAGGUCAGACUGAGAGUGCAUUCAAGGUUCUAAAAGAAGGAGGCAAAGUUGUGACAAUAGUACCACCUGGACUUCCACCAGCAAUCUUUUUCGUGCUCACUUCUGAUGGGGCUGUCUUAGAGAAACUGAGACCUUUCUUGGAAAGCGGCAAGGUAAAGCCAAUACUUGAUCCCAAGAGCCCGUUUCCAUUUUCGCAAACUGUGGAAGCAUUUUCAUAUCUGGAAACAGGCAGAGCCACUGGAAAAGUAGUCAUCCAUCCCAUACCAUGAACUUGACCACUUUAAUUUUAUUCUAAUCUAUAAUGCAGCUGUUUGUGAUUUAAUAAUUGUGGUUAAGAGUGAGAAAUACUUUGGUAAACAUUCUUGUAUUGUCAAUAAAAAUCUCUUUCUAGUGUGGUUGCAAUUGUCUGGUAAAUGUAAUAUAUAGUUUGUAUGUUCUGAUUAAUUAAAAACUGCUGCAAGAACAUGUGAUAGGUAUCAAUGAUGAGCAAGGAACAAAGACUGCAUUUUAAUUCAAAGAAUGCUACUAAACUACACAAAUUCUCUGGUAUUUGAGAGACCAGAGAACUCUCUGCAAAUACCCAUUACAAUCUAGAUGUCCCACUUAUUCUCCUCACCCUCUCAUUUAUAGUCACUCCUCACACACUCUAUAACAAACUUACUGGCUAAUUGUUAUGCUAACUAACCCUCACUUACAAUUACCUACCAAUACUUCCACUGUGAACAUUCACCUUAUCCUCAAGGUUAAAGGAUUGAGUACAAAGCUUAAGAAUUGAACAAUUCUCUGCAAAAGUCCAUACGAGCAAAAAUUCACUUGGAUCCCAUUGCUUAAAGCACUAUGGAUUCUUUGGUCCCACUGCUAUGUAACACAUCAAUUAUUAUUAUUUGAAAAUAUAACAUCAAUUUGUUGAGCAGUUGAGUUCCAUUGGUCAACAUUCAACCCCAUUUAUUUAUGAAGUGUUGAUCCAUAUAUUUUGUCUGUGCCGAAGAGCUUGGUUGUCGUUGUGCUUAUUUAAUGACUUCAUGAUCUCUUGCCAAUUUGAUGUGUGCUUCCUGUCCUGGAUUUUUCAUACCCGUGUGAACAUUUUCUACACCAACACUUAGUUUGAUUUGACUUGCUUCAAUAUUUUUUUUUAUAAGUCAAACUUGUAUUAAAAGGAAGUAAAGGGUACUCCAACCCAUAAUACAUAGACACCAAACAUUGAAAGUAGAAAUAAUCAAUCUAAAGACAUAGUACAAUGAUAAAGCAAAUGUAAAAAGAUCACAGCCACAUAGCUAAGAUCUUAUAUUGGCACAAAACAACAACAGUCCUCCCCCCACUCAACCUUGCCCAAGAACCGCUAUUUCAUUGGUCGUGUCAUGCUGAAUCAUGUCCUUUCGGAGACAAGUGUUAUUAGUUUAUGUUAGGAAAUAACACACCUGAAGAAGUAAAAUAAACCAGGAGCGCAAUCAACAACACAAGAAUAUAACGUGAAAACUCCAAAAUCGGAGAAAAAACCACGGCCGUUGUCAAAACCGACAACCAGAAAAUAAACACUAUGUGAAAAUUGUUACAACACAUAGACUUCACUCUCAACCACUCCAUGACCCCAGUACACCCACACUCUCCAAAGUAAAUAUUUGAACUAUAUCUCACAAUGCUCUAAACCAAGAGCAUAAGAGAAAAAGAAAACACAAAUAUAAACUUAAAGUGUUUUCAGGUGCUACAUCUUUGGUGUUUUGGUGUGUUGAAACAAGGAGCUUGAGAUCCCUAUAUAUAGUCUUGGACCCUCCCACCCCUCACUAAUCUAAGCGAUGUGGGACUUCUCCAAGAUGUAUAACUUGAUCUUUUUUUCUCCUUCAUUAGCAAUGUGAGACUUACAUUGCAAUCAACCCCAACACUUUAGUCACAAAUGAGCAUUUUCUUCACAUGGCACAUGACAUCUUUUCGCUGAAUUCGUGCCUGUUAUCAGCGACAUCAUGAGGCCUAACUCAACUCAACUUAAAAACUAGCUCUUAUGGUUGAGUUAGACUUUCUAAAUUAUUAUAUUGUAUCGUCUAUUUUAGAUCUAUUUGUUGGUGGAGAACUCUUAUGUUUAGAUCACUCCACAGAUGUCCCGUCUUACAUUCCUUCCUCCACCUCUUUCCACUUUAAAGAGGGGUGUGAAGACAACAUUAUUCUUCUAAUAAUAAGAAAAGGUCCAUAAGAUUCAUAAGUAACUCGAGGUGUUUUCAGAUCGCAAGUAUCACGUUAUCUUUCUUUAUAAAGUUUAUGGCCAGUGGUAGCCAAGAAAACAUACCACAAACGAUGAUGUUGACUAGAUGUUCAAAAGGCCUACGUCUCUGUAUCCGGACUGUUUCUCCUCAAAUUGUAAAGCUUGAACUGCACACCGCACAAUAAAGAAAUUGAGUAAUGUUACUUAUACACCUCUUUUUAAGAUGGAAGAAGUGGAAUAGAAGAGAUUUAAGAAAAAAAAAAGUAAGAGAGAAAGUAUGAGAUAAAGUAUGAGAUAUGAUUGAUGAUAAGCAGGGCCGGCCCAAGAGUAAAGCCACUCAAACAAGAGUUUUAGAUCUCCUGAAAAAAAAAAUUACUAAAGAAAAAAGACCUCAAUUUUUUUUUUACUUAAUAAAAAAGCUCAAAAAAACCAAGCAUUAAUACUAAGUUAAAAAUGCCCAAAAAAAACGUCUCACUUUAAAGUUGGUUUUAUGCCUAAUUUAGUGUUGGGUCGCCCUAAUAAUAAAAUGAGAGAAAUAAAAAUAAAAAUAGGUGUAAAUGAAGUGGUUAAAAAAUUAUAUCCUAUCCAAAUGCAUGAAUUCAAUAAUGAAGUUAUUUUAUUGUCGGACUAAUAGUACUACUUUACCAAGACACUCACUCUUCAAUUCUUCAUCUCUUAUUUCUCUCUCUUCAAUUCUUCACUCUUUUCAAGCAUGGCAGCAAUACCCACUCACAUCAAAGCAUGGACCUACUCAGAAUACGGCAAGAGCACUGAUAUUCUUAAGUUCGAUCCAAACGUGCCUUUACCUGAGUUGAAGGAGGAUCAUGUCCUCAUCAAGGUCGUUGCUGCAGCCCUUAAUCCCAUUGAUUAUAAGAGAAUGGAAGCUUUGUUUAAGGACACAGAUUCCCCUUUACCCGUAAGUUAAUUUUCAAUUCUCCACUUUUCCAUAGCGCGCCGAGCCGAUUUGUGUACACCAUUUUUUUUAAAUCAGCGACACUUGCAGUUUGUGGCGGUCUACAUAGUAUAAAAGUUUUGCAGUUUAUCAUAAAUUGCCGGUGUCUCUAGUAUUAAAAAAAAUAUUAAUGUACACGAACCAUUUUGGCUUUCCAUAUUGCUUCUUUUUCUUGAUUUCUUUUUUUUUCAUGUAUUUUGUGACAUAAUUUUAUCUAUGGUGGUUUCUUUUCAGACAGCUCCAGGGUAUGAUGUUGCUGGAGUGGUGGUUAAGGUUGGAAGUGAAGUGAAGAAAUUUAAAGUUGGAGAUGAAGUUUAUGGUGAUAUCAAUGAGAAUGCUCUGGAGUAUCCAAAGGUUGUUGGUUCAUUGGCAGAGUAUACAGCUGUAGAAGAGAAAUUGUUGGCUCACAAGCCUAAGAAUCUGAGCUUUGUUGAGGCAGCUAGUCUUCCUUUAGCAAUUGAGACUGCUUAUGAAGGCCUUGAGCGUGCUGGGUUUUCUGCUGGGAAAUCUAUUCUUGUGCUUGGAGGUGCUGGUGGAGUUGGAACCCACGUUAUUCAGGUAACAAUGUGAUACUAGCUAGUGAGUAGUGACCAAGUAUUUUGUUUUUAGGAAUGAUACCAACACCCACUGUUCAACACUUUUAAUUGAUUGGAUAAAAUGUAUGUGCAUCCAUUAAAUUUGUAGUGUAGUCUCAUGAAUUUCAACAAAAUCAAUAAAAGAUUGUUGGAAAAAGAUUAUUAAAGAGGGUAUUGCUAGCAUAUUUGUAUUCACAAAUAUUGUUUCGUACACACUCUACAAAGAGUGAAGAUGUAAUAAAAUAAAAGAAAUAUGAAAAAAAGAAAAGAAAUGAAGAAUAAGAUUUGAUAUGCGGUAUAAUUGAAGGAGAAGAACAAUAUAUAAAAAACAGGUGAAAUUGAAGUAAACAUCUAUUUUUAGGAGUGGUCAAAAUAGUGAAGUCAUACACACUCAUGCUUCACUUACUUAAAUUUUAAAUUGGAUAUUAAGUGUAUUAUGAUUUAUUUGCACUUCUACUACAUUUUUAUAUUUAUUUUUUAUUUAGUUAUCUUUUGUCUUUCAAUUAUAUCAUCUAUUUAUAUUUAUUAUUUUCUUUCUCUAUUCUUUAUAUGUCUUUUUUCUAUAUCUUUAUUCCAUUUAUAGUUAAAUGAGAGUGUGAAUGAACUCAAAAGAUUUAAAAAAAAAUGUUUUCUAAAUGACCCAUAAUAAAGUUUGGGUUAUUUAACCCAAACUUUAUCAUGAGUUAUUUAGACAAUAAAAAAAAACUCAAAAGUUACUCUCAUAAAUACAAAAAUAGAUACUGAUAUGAAUAGCCUAAAUGGUACUUGAUGGUUUAAAAUAUCUCAGAUUUAUUGAAAUGCUACUGAUAUCAGAUACCAAUAAAUAAAAAAUAGAUAUAAAAGGAAAUAUCUCUUUAUAGUAGGUGGCCGCCCCCUCGCCCCUUUCCGCCACGAAUAUUACCUUCCCCCACAUACAAUUAACGUUUUUUAUUUUCGAAAGACCCACAUACAAUUUAUUUAUUUUUGUUUUUGAAAGAGACCCAUAUGGCCAUAUACUAUGUUUUCUGAAGGUGACCCAUAUACUAUGUUAAAAGAGCAAUUAUUUGAUUUGUCUUGUAUCCAGUACCAAUAAAACAUUAUUUAGGGGUUACUUGUGAUUGAGAUUUUAGAGGGAAAGGGAGAUAUUGACUUGUUUUUGUUUUUAAAUUAAGAAAAUAACAUAUAAAUAUUUACGAUAAUAAAUUUUUUUUUUGAACUCAAAUAAAUUAUUAGUAUAUGAUCAUUAUGUUUAUACUAAUUUGAAGUUGUGUGAAAAUAUUUCAAUACGAGCUUUGUUAUUUUUUUUUCAUUGUUAUUUUAAUAUAUUGUACUCUUAUGCUAAAAUUAUCAGUAUUACAAACCAGUCAGUAAAUUGUACACCAACAGCUAUCACAAGUACACUUGAGUUAUGUACAAAACUAAAAUUGUUUGUUAUGAGAGACCGUAACAUAUUCAAUUUACAAAUAAAAUUAUUUUUCCCAGUUGCUAAAAUACCAUGGGGACCACACAAAAAAUCUCAAAAUCUUAAUAGUUUGAAUACUGAUAUAAUAUUUCAUGAUAUAUAUAAGUGAUUAUAAUUGAUAAUGCCUUGUUGAUGUAGCUUGCCAAGCAUGUUUUUGGCGCAUCUAAGGUAGCAGCUACAUCUAGCACUGGGAAGCUGGAGCUGUUGAGGAAGUUAGGAGCUGACAUGCCUAUUGAUUAUACAAAGGAGAACGUUGAAAACCUGCCUGAAAAGUUUGAUGUGGUGUUUGAUGCAGUUGGUAAGACUUUUGCACUUCUAACCCAUAAUUUUUAAGUUGUAGAAGCAAUAGAUAAGCAUUAAUAUUACUUAUUGAAACUGAACUAGUGCUCCAUUUGGUACAUAUCCAACCGAAUUCUAACGAUAAGUACUUUUAUCCCUGGACUUUGAUACCAUAAUUUUCUUAGAGACUUUGAUACCAUAAUCUUCUUUGAGAAUUUUAUGAGGUUGAUAUGAUAUUUUCUACGAGAUGAAGUAUUUACCUUUCUUAUAACACAAAACAGGGGACGCUGACACGACAUUCAAGCCUUUGAAAGAAGGAGGCAAAUUUGUGACAAUAGUACCACCUGGACUUCCACCACCGGCAAUCUAUUACAUAUUGAAAUCUGAUGGGGCUGUCUUAGAGAAACUAAAACCGUAUUUGGAAAGUGGCAAGGUAAAGCCAAUACUUGAUCCCAAGAGUCCCUUUCCAUUUUCCCAAACUGUUGAAGCAUUUUCCUAUCUGGAAACUAACAGAGCCGUUGGAAAAGUGGUCAUCCAUCCCAUACCAUGAACAUAAACCAUUGUGGUUCUAUCAUAAUCUAUGUUGUUGUUUGUGAUUUAAGAUUUGUGUUCAAGAGUGAGAAAUACUUUGGUUUAAAUGUAGUAAUGUACCUGGUUUUCAUUUCAAGGAAGGGUAUACGGUGAAAUAAAGUUCUCUUCCUAGUGUAGUUGAGUUGUAUGCUAAAUUGAAUGUGUUAUAUUUUUUCUUUUUGGUAAU